CAUGUGAGAUCUCCCCGGGCCAGGGCUCAAACCCGUGUCCCCUGCAUUGGCAGGCGGAUUCUUAACCACUGUGCCACCAGGGAAGCCCUAGAGUGCAGCUUUAAGGCUGUUUUCAUAACCCUUGAAUCAAGUUGUAAUAUCGGGGUUGGUUUUAAUAAAAAUUAUAUUGAUUUUGUUUUAAAAUUACAUUUCAGGCUUCUAUAUAAGAAGUGAAAUAUUUACCAAUACAUGAUAAGUUCAUAGCAUUGGCACUAUAACAGAGAUGUUGUAGCUUAUGGCCUAAAUUUACCUGACGUUUAAUGAAUCCAAUUUAUCAAGAUCCUAUGGAUUUGUAGCCAAAUCCAUACUUUAAAACAAUCUUUAAAGAGCUAAACUUAGAUUCACCCUUAUUUAGAGUAACUUGUAAGAAAAUGAUUAAGUUCUAAGUUCAGUACUUCUUCACUUUCCUUAACUUUUCCUUUAUUAGGCCACGUUUAACCACCUGUAAGGGCAGAAUGCUUUCCUCCACUGCUCAGGGCAAAGUACUCUGCAGUGCCUUACCUCCACAAUGCUAUUGAUAUGGUGGUUAAAGGCCCGAGUUCUGGAGCCAGAAUGCCCAGGUUCACAUCCUGUCAUUUCUGCUUGUUGUGUGACCCUGGGCAAGUUAACUACUCGGUGCCUCAGUUUCUUCACCUAUAAAAUGGGAAUAAUUACCACAACCUAACUCAUAAGGCUGUUACGAGGAUUAAAUGAGAUAAAGUAUCUAAAAAAGCCCUUAGUUCAGAGCCUAACCCAGGUUAUAAGAGGUCAUACUGAUUUUCUUUUUAAAUUUCAGCUUUCUUGAGGUAUAAUUGACAAUUUUAUUUUUAACUACUCUUCAGACCUAUAUAUGAGAAUGAAAUAUUUACAAAUACAUUAUAAACUUAGGUUUGUAGGAGAUUGCCUAUUUUCUUAGGAGAUGCAUGCUAAAAUAUUGAGAUAAAGUCUCAUUUGAAAGUUGUAUAGCAACUUUCAAAUGCUAUACAAAAAGAAAAAAUAUGUGGAAAAUAUAGAACGUUAAAUAUGGUGCCAUGUUAAUACUUAAUAUAUGUAGGAUAUGAAUGUUCAUUGUAUUAUGUCAAGUUUUCUGUAGGUUUGAAAUCUUUCAUAAUAAAACUUGGAGGGAGGAUGGAAAUACUUUCCCCAGUUCUCUCAGUGUCUCAUUUUUCUUUUCAUUUCUUCUUCUUCCCUCUAUGUUAUCUCCCCCAAAUUGUCUCUCAUAUCUCUCCCACGCAGGGCCCCUUGUCUCUCCUCAUCUACAGGUUAUCUCUUUAUUAUGUACUUGUUAAUAGCCGCAGCUUAGUGUAAGUGGUUAAACAUACACACUCUGGAGCCGGACUGUCUGUUGGAGUAUCUGCCAUCUCACUUAUUGUGCGACCUUGGGCAAGUUACUUUAAACUCUCUGUAGCUCAGUUUCCUCCUAUGGUUAUCGUAAGGAGUAAAGAAACAAUGAGUAUCUAUAAACGAUUAGAAGAGGGUCUGGUAUAUUGUCAGUCUCUGUAGGAAUUUGCCAUAAUGAUAAUAAUAAUCUCUUGGUGUCCCUCACGUCUUUCCUUCUGUUCAGUGGUGAUAGGCCCUGGAGCCUUCCUCCUGAGGAGAGGGAGUUGGGAGAAAACUGCAAAUGCUUCUUACUUAAUACCUUUUUUUUUUUUCCCCUGAACACAAAAGGAAUUAAAGUGGGCAAAAAUCCUCCUGAAAAAUGUUUCCACGUUUAGAAUAAAUAUGUUCUACUCUGUUUUUGCUUUCUGGUUUCCCCCUGAAAAGAUAAUUAUUUAACAGUAAAAUCUUGCAUUAACCCUGGAUGUUGGUAGUGGCAUCAACACCUUACCCCUAACCUCACAGGCCCAUCUAGUCUGCACUGUCUUCUCCUUUCUCACUCCUGAAAUGGCACAGCGCUUCUUCCUGUACGAAGGUCAGCUUCUCACCUGUGCUGGAGAUCCCAGCCUCCUCACCUUCUGAGGAACCUUGCAUUCUCAAUUACUCCUUCUCUCUUCUGUACUCACCUCUCCCUCCCAAUUACGUCUUUUCCAUGAACAUUUAACUCCUCAUCUUAAGUUGGACGAGGGAACCCUCCCUAGAUUCCAUCUCCCCUUUGAGCUACUGUCUUAUCUUUCCUGCUUCACAUGAUAUUUCUUGAAAGAGAUUCUCAUUUUCCAGUUACUUCUCAGCCCACUCCAGUGGCUUCCCUGCUGUCAGUUUAACAAAACAGCUGUUACUAAGGUGACCCAUAAACUGUAUGUCACUAAAUCCUCGGGCAUUUUUUAGGACUAACGUUAUUACUUUGACUUACAAAAACAUUCAGCAGUUCGACUGUAAUCUCCUUAUUGAAACCUCUUUAUUCACCAUUGGCUGUUUGUUGUUCUGUGAAUAAUAAAGUACUGUGUCUCUGACCCAGGAGUCUCAGGUCUCAUGCUAGCAUCCAUGAAACAGUGUCUGACUUAUUAAAUAACUUGUGAUUGGACUAAAAUACAGUCCCAGACUUGACACUAACCAUCGUAUUCCUAGCAGCCCCACAGUGCCUGGCAUGAAGUAGGUGUUCAGUAUUUAUUUGUGAGAUGGCUGGAUGGAUGGAUGGACUUUUUCAGCUCGCCAAGACAUUGCAGGGAUAAGACCUUUCAGAAGAGCCAACCAGGUUCUGGGAUUGUGAGGGAGACAGCUGAGAGAACGCGAACAUUAAUUUGAUCUGAGGUUUCUCUGGGUUUAUGUGUCUAAUUGGAGAGUAUUUUGAUCAGCCAGCUUCUCUUCUGAAAUGUAAACCAUCUGACAGAGGUAAUCCUAUUAAUUCCAUUUUAUUCUGAAUUAGUUGAGUUGGCGUAACGUUCUAAUAUUUAGCUGAGUGUAGCGGUGGUGCGUGGGGAGGGCUGAUGUGGGAGGCCGGUAGCCUGUGGUGGGCAGAGGCCUGGGUUCUCUUUCGAAGGGGGAAUUCUGUGUAUUCCUGGGUUUCUUAGAGAGGGUGUGCGGGUGGGGGAACCAGAAAGUGAGAGAGAGAAGUGGGAUAACAGCAGAGGCACGCUUGGUCAGCCUCAAGAUCUGCCCGAAGCCUGCUGGCGGUCGCUGUGGACACACCAUAGAAAUUCAUCUCUGAAGCUGCUGGUGCCAGAGUGCUUCAGACUUUAACUGUCCCUGUAAGGAUGGACUGUUCCCCUUUUACAAACAGCAUUUUUUAAAGUAACCUAAGCAAAGUUUUACAUAGGAUAAAAUUGUUUUCAGGACAGAUAAAAAGAGUGAAAAGAAUGCAUGAGAAUAUUAAAUGUACAACUAUUAAGAUUUCUAGAAUUAGAAACUGAAUAAUUGUGUAGAAAGGCAAACAGCCUUUAGGGUGACAGAGGGCAUUCUUGGAGUUGACAAGAGUGACAAGAAUUAUCUAGGGUUUGACUCUCAACAGGAGGGAUAUCACCCCAAGGGGGUAAAAAUUGGUUCUUGUGGGACAAAAAACGGCCUGCAUGGCCAGGGUACCUAAACAGAAAUACAGUAUAUUUGUGGUAUUAGAAUUUCAUGGUGGCAAAGGGCUUUAGGUAAAUAUGUCUUAAAAGUCUCCUUACAGGGCGGUAACAAAAAAAAAAGUUGAGAAACAACUGGACCUGUUGAUUCAAAUGGAAGGAUUUUGUUGAUCACCAGUGGGUCCCCCUGGGAAGACGAACUGGAAAUGUGUGUUGACUCAGCAGAAGGAAAAAGAUCUCACAUGUUGUCUAAUCAUCGGGGGCCUGUAAUCUUUUCAGUACUUAGUGCUUCUAAAAGUUUUAAGCUGGUCUUGGGUGCAGUUAAUUCAGUUUUAAGUGAGAAUCACGCUGGGAUGGCCCCUGGGCCCUGCAGCUCUGCUGCCAGCCCAUCUGUGUGGUAACAUGAGCUUUGUCCUCCUUACCAGCUAAUUCCACUUUCAUUAAAAUUCCUCUCUACGGACCUGGGAUAAUGGUCAUGGUUCUGCCUUUCAGCUCCAGAGCAAGGAUUUUUUUUUUUUUUCCUGUAAGUGAGCAAUUAGUUACUGGAAAUAGAUGUGUGUAACACCUGGAAGUGGAUGAAAACACCAGUGAGCCAAAUGCUCCUUCCCAGUUGGGCAGCUGAAAGGGACGCCUGGCUUUGUGCAGUGGUGCCGGCUCCUGCUCUGCUCUUACUGUGCAGUGAAGACCUGGAUGUGCCUCCCUCUGUUCACAUCCACCAGGUGCCCGCCACGGUGGCAGGGGUCUGACGUGCUUGCUGGGUUCUCAGCGGCUUGCGUUGCCUCCAACUCAGUCACUCGCACAACUGCUCGAGGGCAGGAAGAGACUUCCCUUCCUCAAAAGGGCAGGAGAGAGAGAGAGAGAAGCUCCUGUUUGGAUGCCGGAGCCACAUGGGCAAGCCAGGCCUUAUUCCUUUUGAAGGACGGCGCUGAUUCUUCUUCCUGGGACAGAGAACCUCUGCCCACAGCAUCAGUCUUCCGAAGGUCAGCCCCGACCCACGAAAGCCCUGAGUGGAGCCUCAGCAUUACGAAGGCAUCGUCCUGUCCCUCAGACUGGCUAAGAGGAGGGCAUCCUGCGAUCUUUGUCAGCAGACGGUGAGACUCCAGGACUAAGACGUAAGCCCAUGGCGGGUCCUUCCUUUGGCACCAAGUCCCUACAGAACCUUGGAUGAGUCAGAUCCCCACACUGUACCCCCCCCCAGUAUCCACAGUUCUGAAGUGGGAAUAAUAUCAACACAUGGGGAAGUACUGAGGAGGAAGAGAACAUUGCAGGUAAAACACUUUUGUUCGUUGAGCACCUUUUCCCCAAGAAACAUGGCACCAACUUUGCACCAUGUCCCCAGCUCUUCAUUGAAUGCGGCAGUGACCGACUCACUCUCCCUGGUCUUUGGGCAGGCGUUUCUAUGAGCUCAAAGUCUCAUUCCUCUAAUUUCAGAUUAAAAUAAUCAUGGAUUAACAUCUCUUCAGAGUAUGUUUACAGUCACUAAAACAGCUCAUACUUUUCCUGCAGAAUUGUAACAGCUACUCAGGGACUCUGCCAAUCAGAGUGCCCGCACAGAGCUCGUUUUGCACCACGAAGGCAGGAAUCCUGGAAGCUCCACCUCGGCAGACGCUGGAUGUUUCAGACAUCCAAGACAGGCAACUGCACAGAGUCACCCCCACGGCCAAGACCCACCCACAGGAAAACAUCCCCUCAGAAACAGACAAUCCGCUUCUCGUCUUCAAAGACUUUGGCCUCCUCUGGCUUUAUCAAGUUUCCAUUUAAGCUGUUGGAGAAAAAGAACACAAGGGUGCCCAAUCAAAAAUGUUUGGAGACUACCAGUCUGAACAACAAAUUCUAAGGAACACAUCUGGGGAACAGGCAGUCUGAUGUCUCCUUCCAGAUGGCUGGAGAAAGGCAAGGCAGUUUUUAAAGUUAAGUAUUUUUUAAAGAGCUGGCCCUUCUCUUCUUUGGGGGAAACAAAGGCUUCCAAGAUGGUACCAUGUCCUCUCCAACAUCUGAGAGGGAGGGAGGAAGAACAGUUCUGCUGCUACUCAUGGGUCCCAGUGGAAAAGUAUCAAUAAUGGGGCUUCUAAGAGUAUACCCCAUUAUGUUGGGUGGCAUUGAUUCUAAUGAAACAAAGAUUUCAGAUAUAGCUGGGAAGCCUGGGCAAUUCCCAAAUUGCUCCCCUGGGAAGCCAUGCGUCUAACCCACCCAGGAAAGAGCAGCACAAGUCAGUGAUACGCCUGUGCUUCAUCACAGGUUCAUUCCUCACCCCCCAGCUAUUUGUAGCAUAAGGCUACUACUGAACUUGACCUUUAGAAAUUCUGGGCACUGAUCCAAGAAGGUAGCUGUGUACCAGGAAGAUAAUGACCUAUAUUACUGUGACUAAUGAGAUUAUAGAAAUUAAGCCCGUCCCUUAAGGAGGCAGUAUAGCAUUGUGGUUAAAAGCUCUCCUCAUAUACAUACACCCACUCCCCACUUCUCAGCUGCAGAUCCUUGAAGAAAUAAACUUAAGCUUUCUAUUCCUCAGCUGCCUGAUCUAUAAAAUGGGAGUAACUAUAAGAGAACCCCGCUACCCUGGGUGUGUGAGAUUUCAAUAGGAGGAUGUGUAUGAAGUAGGAGGAUGUGUAUGAAGUAGUUCUCAUCAUUUCUACCAUGGCGCCCAGGGGAAGGGAGCUCUUGUCACCAUUCCUGCCCAAGCACACAGGACUCGGUGGCUGUGCUGCAGCCAGGACCCAGUGAUCCCCAGCACAUCUCUCAAAGACUGGGGCCCCUGGGCCAAGUGGCAGAGGUGAGACCUUCUGCAACUAAACAGCUGGCAAGACUCCACCUGGACGUGGUUCCUGCCUGGGCUGAUUUGAAGCAGGAAGCGUAAGUGCCAGCCUCACCAGCAGCCACUCAGCCUUUGCCGCUCCAGAGCCCAGGACGAGGCCAAUCACCAGACUGCUCAAGGGGAGGCCAGACAGGAAACGGAACAUGGCAAGACCUGGUCACACGGGCUGAGGACGCCUGGCGAGCUCUGCUUCGGAGGCUGACACCUUACAGGCGCCUGUCGGUGAGGCCUGGAGAAGUUUCCUCUGUUCUUGUAUGGAAGGAACUCUGCUACUGCCCCCACCGUAUUUAACCCUUUGUCAGUGACAGGAAGGACACGGGCAACCAGGAGACCCCCAAGUCUCAGAGAUUUGGCCAGAGGCCUAAAGGAGGGCCAGGGAGGACCAAGUCUGUUUACAGAGGUGAAGGAUCCCCUCUUGUCCCAGCACCAUCCUGAGAAAUGAGGAGGGGGCAGGAAUCUGCGGCCCAGUGUCUUUCAGUUUUGUCUUGACUGAAGAAUUCCUCCCCAACCCCCAAGGGGCACAGGAAGACUACAGAGGGGCUGGCAAUGUCUAGUCUUGAUCUGACUGGUGUGUGCACAUGUCACAUCACAGAGCUGAAAACUUAAGCAUAAUAUACUUAACUGUAUGCCUCUUCUAUGUCGAUAAAAACAUUUUUAAAAAGAAAAAGAAACGCCACACACACAAAUACCUUCCCUGUUAGGAAUGCCAGCCACCCUCCUUCCCCUGGCUCCUCCUCUGGUAAAACAAGAGGAACACGGAGUGACCAGGUUGGCCCUGAAGACGGCAGUUCUCAGAAGGCAGCAGUUACCUCAAGUUAGUCAAGCUCGGGUGGUUCCUCAGAGCCUCUGCGAAGGCCCUUGCUCCUUCGUCACCGAUUUGAUUGCCCCACAUCCUGAGGGCAGAGGGAAGACAGUGAAAGUUACCUCAUGCUCAUCCCUUAUUUUCUGCUCGUGGCCAUGGUGUGUAUACUCAACACACAGAUGUUUCUGCUCCAUCCCUGGAGCUGUGGCCUGGAGAUGAACCCCUCCACCAGCCCCUUAGUGAGCUGCUCGGGAGGAAAAAAAGCAGUAGAAGGCUUAUGAACAGAAAUCAAAUCAGACAGCUGCACAAUUAGGAACCAAGUCUCACCCCUGAGCUUUUGGAGAGCUGUCAGUCAGAGCCUAAGCUCACAGCUAUCCCUGAAAUGUCACCUGCAGGAUAUACAGGUUGGUGGCAGCUUGAAAGGAAGGCCUGUGGCGGUGCCAGACCCAAUAUCCAUUUGACCCUGUGCAGGGGUGCCGGACAUUCUUGAAGACAUAGUCGGUCUUGCAUGAAGCAAAGAUCAGAAAGCACACUGAGAAAACUUAUCGGCAAUUUCCCUGCUAUGUAAAGAGGAGGUGACCAAACCAUGUUGUUCAGAUUGUUGCAGUUUGGGUGGGGAGGUGCCAUGACAAGCCGUAUUCUCUCCCCCACAGUAGAAAGCCUUAGAGGAUCUGGCUAAAUCGAGGGUCUGCAUGGUAAGACGUUGGGCUCCCAUCCUGGCCCUGCCCCCCACCACCUGGGCGUGCUUGGGUAAUGCGUAGUCUCUGAGGCCUUAGUCUCGUCUGUAAAGCAGGUAUAAGAAGAGCAUUUCCUCCCAGAGUUGUUGUGAGGAUUCAGUGAGUUAAUAUAUGCAAAGCACUCCAAACAGUGCUGAGCCUAUAAUAAGAGUCAGCUAUUCCUAAAAGGCUGAGGGUCACUGUCUACAGAAAGCAAGUCUGCCAGGCUCACCACAGAACUGGGGCUGCCUCAGCUACGUGCUCUCACCAGGCAAGCGGCCUGCUGACGUCCCUGCCGGUACAGCUUCUAAAACCCCAGAAUGAGAGUUUUCAGCAUUUUGCGUAAAAAGUGUGUGUACUAGAUAAAACUGCAUGCUAUCAAACUUUGAAUAAAGUGGAAAACUACUCAUGACAUGAGAUUAAGUGAAAAAAGGUAGAAUAAAAUUCUGUACAGAUAGUUUGACCUCUACCAUAUUAAAAAAAAUAGUAUAGAGAGAACAUAAACUGCAUGAGAGAGAGCAAGAAAGCUUACCUGACCUCAAGUGUUGACAAUAAUUAUUUCUGAGAUGAUCUCCAUUAUACUGUUCAUAUUUUCCAUAGUUUACAAAUAAAAUUAUCUAUGUCUCUUCUAGAGUCAGAGAAAAAAUCAUAACUCUAUGAAAAGCUGUAGUCUCCUGAACCAAAACCAUAAUGAAAUAUCACCUCACACCCGUAUGGAUGGUUACUAUCAAAACACCAGAAAAUAACAAGUUGUUGGUAAGGAUGUGGAGAAAUUGGAACCCCUGUGCACUGUUAGUAGGAAUGUAAAAUGGUAUAGCUGCUGCAGA